CCAUAUGUCUAUGAAUUAUAUUGUACUUAAGCACAAGUGUAGCUAUCCUGUGAAAGCAUGCAACAGUAUUAUUACAGGAUUGACUCCAUUCCAUUGGCUGUCCCUUGUAUCCCUAGGACUGAUUCAUUCCAUAGCUGUCGCCGGUAUCUCUCUCAAAGGUGUUCAUUCUUUAUCUAACCAAAGUAUUUUGGUGGUAAACACAAUUAUCACUUGCUCAGCAAGUGUAAAUUGGCGGUCUAUUUUUCUGUGAACAUUGCUUAAACCAUUACAAAUGAUGUCAUUACGUUAAUAAAGUCGGUUUCAUUCUUCACUCACAAGAAAGGAGAAGGAAAAGAUUUCUUUGUGUCCCAGGCCCUGUCAUUAAAACCUUUCCCACUGUGGAGAACAGGUUUAGUUGCCCAGGCACCUUCAGUGUCUCAGCUGAGCGACCAGGGCCUUCCACAUUGCAAAAAUUCCCAUGAUGGCCAACAGAGAGAGCUCGAGCACCACAGACCCGGAGAGGAGAGUUCCUCUGCCCAGGCAGUGAUGGCCAGCAGAAGGCGCACCAUCGGCUUUUCUGACCCAGGGCACCUGAGAGCAGGGAGGGCUUUGAUUGCUCCCAGAGUACUCAGGGCCUCUGCCGCUGCCUCAGUACAGAGAGCAGAGCUGCAUUUCCAGCAGGUUGUGCCGCCCGCCCCAGGGGAGAUCUUGGGAGCUUUGUAGCAACUUGGCAUCUCCUGAGUCGCCAGAGAGAAUUUGUCUUAUUGUACUGAGUGCUGAGGAGUGGGCGCUGGGUGGCUUCCCUGGGCAAGGUGGUUGCUGAGAUGCACAGGCCCUUGCAUUUUCUGGGCUGUUCCCGUGUUUCAUUCCUCCCCUUCCUGGACAGUAUUUGAACAAGACAUAUUUUACUAAAGGUCUUGUGGAUUGCGGAGUCCCACGACAUCACCUCAUCGAUGCAGUCGAUGGUUUCUUCCAGAUUCAGGCUUGUUUCCGGGAAGAAACCCUGACAGAAAUUCAGAAGAACAGGAGCUGCAUUCCAUUAGGACAUGAAUACAUGAAAUACUCGUCUUGGGAACUCCUAGAAGAAUGAGCUGGGACCCACUUUCGAGUCCUGCUAGAACCAGUGACCGAGGGCCUGAAUCUUAAUACAAUAAGUGUGCCGUUGUCUUCUUUAAAGUGGCGAUCCCCAAUCCCUGGGCUGAGGCGUUAACCGUCUUAGUUUAAUGAACUUCUGUGACCAUCUUUUUUUGAUGAUCAUUUGUUGGAGAUAUCUUAAUUGAAACUGGGAGAAGGACAACUGUAUGGGCCAUUGGUUGUGUAGGCCUCAGCAAUCAUUUCAGAAAGCUGCAGCCGGGCCUGAGAAACGACAUGCUGAGGUUCCAGGUUCUAUCUGGAAUGAUCCUGCACUGCUUCUGGACCCCAGAAAAUAAAAACGCCCUGGAAGACAAGUGUAAUGCAUUGAGGUCUGUGAAAGCCACAAAGGAAGCAAAAGUCAAACAGCUGAAGGAGAAAGCACAUAACCUAGAAGAAUUCUAUGAUCAAAGAAAAGUGCCUACAAAAAAGAAGCUGAAAAUGACACUGUGAACUGGCGGCAAAGAAGAAUCAGCUAGCAGCUGCAGAUCUCAAGUAAUGACCAGACUGUGUGGAAACUUUGUCCAUGCUAACAUUCCUCGGGGGUGGUGUCAAUUGUCGUCAUCUGUAGGAAAGCAGUGUGUCGUACAAUGAAUCGUACCCAUCAACGUGGUAGUGCCAUUUCAUGGCCCUCGUCUUUGCAACCCUGGGAAACAUGGCAACAAAUUGAACAAACACGGGAACAGCUGCAGCAGGCAGAGCUCACCUUUAGAUACCAGGUCACGAGAAGAAUGCUCAGGACAACUAGGGAUGACGCCUGCACUCUUAGUUGUCUAGUAGACGACGUGGUGUUGCAACUCUUAUAGAAGUCCAUUAUUUUUCUGUAUCCAAGACUGGAAGGGAUGGAACCAUACAGGUUGCCUGAGGGAUACACGAGGCAGAAACCAAUCACUGCAAGAACCCUCCAAGGCAAGGGCAGUCUAGAUCCUGGGGACCUCCUCCGUUAACUGGACGAUUCUGCAUGCCCUACCCUGGAGACGCCCCACCCCAUGGACUAUUAGGCACGUCCACCUCCUGAACCUUAGUGGCCCUGAGGCCACCCGGAACCCCUCCACCUGCAACACUUGGAUUUUUUGCAGGUCCAGAAGUAGGUGUCACAACCAAGAGUGACAUCGACACUGGCUCUGCCAAAACUGCCGAGAAACACAAAGUAAAUGCUGUGGCCAUUUUCAGUUCUAAGUCUUUACGGACCGCCUGUACAGGACACUCUCCUGCCAUUGUCUCUGGUUUGUGUGUCGUAUGGUCUGUCUGCUGUUUUUUUCCCCCCCCAAAUGCAAAACAUUUACUGCCGAGUCUACGGGCUUCCCUGUUUCCCAGCUGGCAUCUGUUUGUGGUAACUUGAGCCGCUAAGCAUGCCUAAAGGUGGGGGCCAUAGGGCUUUUCUAAUGUGUUCCUGGAAUAAAUCAAGGAGGAUGACACCACACUCCACUUGGAAGUCUCCUACCUUGCCUCAUUCUUUGUGGAUCUCCUCAAUGUGGAAUCUUUGCUCUUGCUGUGUCUUCCUCUCCUGUUUCCUUCUAUUGAGGAUUUUAACGUGCUCAGAAAAAUCUGUGGGUAUCGUUACAAUUUGAAAAUGCGAACUGCCUUCACUCCAACUUAUAUUUUUGUAUGUGUCCUUUAGAAUGUAAAUUUCAUACCCAUCAGCAUUUUGGUAAACAUGCUGUCCAGAGUCCCUUCAGGUGUGCCCUGGGCACAAAUCUCUGAACUAUAAGAGGUGGCAUAUCGGUCAUGGAAAACAUGCACUGGAACUUAAGUUGUGAAGAGAAAAAAUCCAAAAUUACCUGUGUGGCAAGUCCCCACGGUGUCCUUCACUUGUGUUCACAUGAGCACAUUCUCUCGUGUCCUGUGUCACAGGUACAGCUAAAACAUGGAAACUUACACCAGACAUCAAAGUGCAUUUGUGUUAAUUUUGUCUUUUAGAAUUUCAGCUCAUUUUUCCAGAGGACACAAUUACCCUGCAAAGUGUACUGCACUUAAGCUGAGAAGUCCCUCCGAAGUAAAAUAACUUAGCUGAACCCAACUAACAGGCUAUUUUGUAUGCAAGAGUCCUGGUCCUUUCCCAGGAUUGCCUUGCAGGCUGUGCCCCGUGGACCACCCUUCACCACCAGUCAUGGGCUAUAGGCCACAUCCCCCUCCUCCACCUACUCUAUUUGUUAAGAUGACCUGAACUGGCUGAGUGUAUAUUCAUCUUCCUCAUGAUUGACUUUGUGGCAAUGAUGUAGAGACGGUUGUGAGUCUUGGCAAUCCAACUACAAACUGCCUGAGGACACUGUAGCAUAUCUCAAGUUUCUCAGGACAUACAUACAAUGGGCAGUGUCAUGUCCAUGUAAUACAGUGAGCUAUACGUUUCUCUUGUCAAAUGAAAGAGGAUUUUUUACACAAAAGCAGACAUAGCCGCAGUACUGGGGCGUAUGUUGGAGACACAAUGUGUUGGGUUCUCUAACUUUUAGAGCAUCAAGUGUCCUGUGUGAAAGAGGGACAUUCAUUAAAUGGUUCAGACCUUGUAAUCACCAAAAUGGAAACACCAGUGAAGGAUCCAGGGCAAAAACGGGGGAACCUUGAAUCAUACAGGAAUAGAAGGGAAGUUGAGCACAGUAAGCAGAGCUUGAGGAGGUGCAGAGGGGAGGGUGUUGGGGUCAGUGAGAUGCAGUUGGAGGUCAUUCCUGGCCACAGCCUGAGCAGGGAGUGUGAGGUCCAUACGGAGCUGCUAUGUGGGAUCGCUCUCGGUGCACAAUGCACCGUUCGUCUCCAAAAUGUCAGUGUGUUGCCAAAGUGCACACAGGUAAUCAUCUAAAAAGAUUGUUGUCUCCCUGGAUUUUCCUGAAGCUUCUGGUAUUUGUGGGGGGAAAAGAGCCCUGGAGAUAUGGGGAGUUUAACUUGGUCUAAUGAAAAUGCUGUAUGCCCAAGUUCAUAUCCCUCAGUGAGACUAAAAGUGGAUAGAGUCUAGAUCAGCUGAGUCAUCCUACAAUUCAGGGCUGGCCAGAUGCCACCACUACUGGACCCCUGUCAUCACCCUGACUGCAGCCUUGCAUCUCCUCAAACUUCUCUCACAAUAUUAUGACGCUUUGCCUGUGUUCCUGCUGUCUCAGCCCUAAUACCAGUUCUCAGUGGGACCUACACAGAGCCUCAGCUGUGGUAUCUGUGAAAACAGGGAUAACAUUUGUUUCCAAGAACAAGAGAAAAAGAAGACAUUCAGUGCAGAAAGCAUCUGCAAAAUCUCUGGGAAGUGUCCCCUCACACCUCUCACAGUUUCCAUUAAGAUAUCUCCACACAAUGAUCCUCCAAAACAGAUGGUCACGGGAGUUCAUUAAACUAAGACUGUUAACAACUCAGCUCAGGGGAACCUGAGGGAGUUUUCCGGGGUGAUGGGAACUACCUAUAUCUAGAUGGAUGGGGUGCUUAUGCUCAAUUAUUUUAGAAAUAUUCCCUGACUCCAUGGUGCCUUGGGGUCAGACAAGUAUCUGUCCUUAGGAAAUGGCUGAGAGCUAAUGGUGGAGAAGACUGUAGAGAGGAGUGAGGGUCAGACCCACGCCCAGGAUGCCAGGUCUCCACAAACAGCACCACGUGUAGGAGGACUCUAAGGAGCAGAGAUUUCUUGAUCAGACCCAUGAACUACAUAAUCCUCCUGUAGUUUCCUCACUGAGUGAUGGCAGAGCCGAGGCCAGCAGCUGGAGGACACCCUUAUCUUGGCUGGAAUGGACCAGUGGGCCUGGGGGAUUGAGUCAGGGAAAGGGCCAGGCAGAAGGUAGUGACAGGGAGUUUGAGAGACAAACGGAAGAGAAGAGAAGGGACCCUUCUCUGCUGACUUCACCUACAUUUCUCUGUGACCAAAACGAGACCCUUGUCUCCCACGGAAGGGAAGAGGGCUGGCAAAACACCGAGUGACAUACUCAGCUCAAGUGCCCAGGGUAUCUGCCUUGCUCUUGAGUACCUAACACAGGACACACGUGCUUUCUGUCACGAUUGGAACUGCAGCUCGUACGAUUUAGUGAAAAUCAAUCCAACUAUGCAUCCCUCAGCAUUAAAGUACUCCAACAAAAUUAAGUGAACAGACUGAAAGAUACAAGGCAGGAUAAAGUCCAAAGGUAGAGCGACGGCAAUACUUACGGGAAUACAGUCUAUCCGAAAAGGAGGUAGGUACCCUAGUGCAGGCAUUCAGACACCUGGCCCAUAUCUGAAAACGUUAAAAAAAAAAAAAAAAGUCCUUACUCCAAAAGCAACAUUAGCUCUAGACACAAAGGGAUCAUGAUUUAAGGUUUAGAGAGCAACCAUAGGACUUCAUGGUGCUGUAUCCAUGAGAUCAAGUCUCAUCAAAUUAUACCCUUUAAAUUGAGGCUCUUUGUUAUAUGUAAAUUAUACCUCAUUAAAGAGAGUUUCAAAGCACAAAAUACUAGAAGCAAAUGUGGGAACGUUCCUUUCUAAUCCUGAACUGCACUGGUGAUAUGAGUCAGCCCGUGUCUCAAAAAUCCAAAAUAAUAAGACAUUUAAAAAAUUAAUAAUAGCAGAGUAAGCAGACCCUGAGCUCACCCAGUCCCAUGUUCUCAACUGCAGAACAUCCAAGUCCAUGAACCAGAGAGGGAUCCAACGACUGGCAGAAGAAACUCCACACCUAAAUAGAGAGAAGCUGCAUCAGAAAGGUUAGAAAGGUGGAGGCUGUCUGCCUGCAGAAGGGGCAGAAAAAGUGAGCCCUCACACCAGGGAGCGACACAGGGAAGACUAAUCUCCACAACCUUGGGCAUUAAAACCCAGGGGGGCUGAAUUCCCUUGAGUUUAGAUCCUGGUAUUUGGAGGUCAGCUGACCCAGCACUGGGUGAUCCAGGAGGAUGAGUGAUAGCCAGGUCCCUGCUUGUGUAGAGAGGCAACGUAAACAUGGCAUUCGACACAAUGCUUAGGCCACAGGAGACACAUGUAUUCCUGCUGAUUCUUGACUCAGCUGGCCUGCCUGGGUCCCACUGACACCACUGAGAGCAAGCAGAGCCCACAAUAGGCACACAAUCAGUGCAGACCCCUGUACUGAAAGGAAAAGUAACCCAGACACAACAGCAGGGAGUGAGCAAUACCCAUACGAUAUCCUCCUGAAGGUGCAGGGCCUAUAAACGGAGACGUGCACUGCUGAGGACUCCAGGACCCCCUUUUCAUAACGGCAUUAAUUUCAAGAUCAGAAGGCACAGCUGACUUUCUUAACACAGGGAAAUAGAGCCAGAGAGCCAGACAAAAUGGAUACACAGAGAUGUUUAUCUACAGUGAAAGACCUAGUCAAAGCCACAGCCAGAGAUCUAAGCCAAAGAGAUAUAAGUAACAUACCUGAUACAGAAUUUAAAGCAAUGAUCAUAAGGAUACUCACUGGAGUUGUGGAAUGAGUAGAAGAGUGAGACCCCUGACAGAGGUAAGAUAUAACAUAGUUAGACACUGAGGACACAAUCAAGGAGAAACAUGCUUGCUGGAAACAACAGAGGGAUGGAAGAAGCAGCCGAAGAAACUAGUGACCUCGAAGACUGAGUGAUGGAAAUUAGUCACACUGAACCAAAGAGAGAGAACAGAAUUCUGCAACGUGAGAUGAGACUAAGGGAACUCAGUGACUACAGGAAAUAUAAUAAUAUUCAUAUUGUAGGUGUCCAGAAGGAAGAGAACACGGGGAAGAAAAUUUAUUUGAGGAAACAAUAGCUGAAAACUUCCCUAAUUGGGGGAGGGAAACAAACAUCCACAUCCAGGAGACUAGAGAACUCCCAUCAAAAUCAGGCCAACACACAAACCUAUUGUAAGCAAACUUGCAAAUUAGGGUGAGAAUGAAGAAAAACUUGUAAAAGCAGCAAAACAGUCCUUAACUUAGAAGGGAAGACCCAUAAGGCUUGCUACAUAUUUCUGAACAGAAACUUGGCAAGCCAGAAGUGAGUGACAUCACAUAUUCAAAGUGCUGAAUGGAAAAAUCAGCAGCCAAGAAUACUCUAUUCAGCAAGGCUAUCUUUCAGGAUGAAGCAGACACAGACUUCCCCAAACAAAAACUAAAGGAGUUUGUACCACUAAACCAGUCCUGCAAGAAAUAUUAAGAGGGAUUCUUUGAGUGGAAAGGGGAGACAAACAGUGACAGUAUAGAAGUAGAAGACACAAUUCAAGUAAAAAAUGAACAUUUCUGGAAAAAAACAUCAGUUAAAGUACUCAGAGAAAUGGAUUUGAAAUAUAAUAACAUCUGCCAAAAACCUAGGGAGGAGAAAGUAAUGGGUUCAAAGGUAAAUGACCAUCAACUUAAUACAAACUGCUAAAUGCAGAAGAGGUUCUAUAAACACCUAACAGUAGCCAUAUCCUAAAACCAGUCAUAAAUACGCUAAGAAUAGAGAUAAAGAAAUAAAAAUAUAUCACUAAAGAAAAUAAGCAAUACAUGAAAGAAAGGCAGGAAAGGAUCAGAGAAAAUCAAUAGAAACCACAACAAAACAGGCAAUAAAAUGACAAUACAUAUAUACAUAUCAAUCAUUUUUGAGGGAAAUGGAGUGAAUGCUCCAAUCUAGAGAUGUAGGGAGUAAGAAUGGAUGAAAAAACAAAACAGAUUCAGAUGCCUACAAGUGACCCACUUUACACCUCAAGAAUGAUAGGAUAAACAUCAUACAAAUGAAUGUCAAAAGAAAGCUGGAGUAACAACACUUGUAUCAGAAAAAAAUACACUUGAGAAAAGUACAUAACACGAGACAGAGGAGGACAGUCUAUAACAGUAAA